rnacentral:rRNA from 1 species
GAGUUUGAUCCUGGCUCAGGAUGAACGCUAGCGACAGGCCUAACACAUGCAAGUCGAGGGGCAGCGGGGGCGAAGCUUGCUUUGCCUGCCGGCGACCGGCGCACGGGUGAGUAACACGUAUGGAACCUGCCCGCCACAGGGGGGAUAACCGGUAGAAAUGCCGACUAAUACCCCCGUAUGCCCACAGGGGCGCAUGCCCUGGUGGGGAAACAUUUAUGGGUGGCGGAUGGCCAUGCGGCGCAUUAGCUGGU